UACGAGGGGGGCGAGCGUUGUUCGGAAUUAUUGGGCGUAAAGGGUGCGUAGGCGGCUUUUUAAGUUUGGUGUGAAAUCUCCCGGCUCAACUGGGAGGGUGCGCCGAAUACUGAGAGGCUAGAGUGUGGGAGAGGAAAGUGGAAUUCCUGGUGUAGCGGUGAAAUGCGUAGAUAUCAGGAGGAACACCGGUGGUGUAAACGGCUUUCUGGACCAUAACUGACGCUGAGGCACGAAAGCGUGGGUAGCAAACAGG
rnacentral:rRNA from 1 species